rnacentral:lncRNA from 1 species
AAAAGUUGGAUUGGUGACAUCUCUGGAACAGCUAUGCUGGGGAUGAAACUUAAAGUUGAAGUUGACAUCGAGAUUAACUAGCGCCAUGACUAGUACGGCUUUCCGCCAGGGAUGACACUUCGAAACUAAAGUUGAAAUUUGAAAUUGAAAUGGAAGAUGUUUUACUCGUAGAAACUUGCGGCUUGACGCAAUGGUAAACUAAGACUGAACCGAAGUGAAAUGACCGAAACGAUUGAUGAGUUUAUGUAUG